rnacentral:rRNA from 1 species
CCUACGGGAGGCAGCAGUGGGGAAUAUUGCGCAAUGGGCGAAAGCCUGACGCAGCGACGCCGCGUGAGGGUUGAAGGUCUUCGGAUCGUAAACCUCUGUCAGCAGGGAAGAACGGUCACUGUGCUAAUCAGCAGUGAAUUGACGGUACCUGCAAAGGAAGCACCGGCUAACUCCGUGCCAGCAGCCGCGGUAACACGGGGGGUGCGAGCGUUAAUCGGAAUUACUGGGCGUAAAGUGCGCGGAGGCGGUAUGCCAAGUCAAGGGGGAAAUCCCCGCGCUAAACGUGGGAACUGCCUUUGAUACUGGCAAACUGGAGUGUGUGAGAGGAUAGUGGAAUUCCAGGUGUAGGAGUGAAAUGCGUAGAUAUCUGGAGGAACAUCAGUGGCGAAGGCGACUAUCUGGCACAUAACUGACGCUGAGGAGCGAAAGCGUGGGUAGCAAACAGGAUUAGAUACCCGUGUAGUC